GAAGCGGUAAAAGCUCAAAUUUGAAAUCUGGCUCUUUUAGAGUCCGAAUUGUAAUUUGUAGAAGAUGCUUCGGGUGUGGUUCCGGUCUAAGUUCCUUGGAACAGGACGUCAUAGAGGGUGAGAAUCCCGUAUGUGACUGGAUACCUAUGCUCAUGUGAAGCUCUUUCGACGAGUCGAGUUGUUUGGGAAUGCAGCUCAAAAUGGGAGGUAUAUUUCUUCUAAAGCUAAAUAUUGGCCAGAGACCGAUAGCGCACAAGUAGAGUGAUCGAAAGAUGAAAAGCACUUUGGAAAGAGAGUUAAACAGUACGUGAAAUUGUUGAAAGGGAAGCGCUUGCAAUCAGACUUGCACUUGGUGUUCAUCAGGGUCUCGUACCCUGUGUACUUCAUCAAGUUCAGGCCAGCAUCAGUUUGAGUGGUUAGAUAAAGGCUUAGAGAAUGUGGCCCUCUUCGGGGGGUGUUAUAGCUCUAGGUGCAAUGU
rnacentral:rRNA from 1 species